AGUGAACGCUGGCGGUAGGCCUAACACAUGCAAGUCGAACGGCAGCACAGUAAGAGCUUGCUCUUACGGGUGGCGAGUGGCGGACGGGUAAGGAAUACAUCGGAAUCUACUUUUUCGUGGGGGAUAACGUAGGGAAACUUACGCUAAUACCGCAUACGACCUACGGGUGAAAGCAGGGGAUCUUCGGACCUUGCGCGAUUGAAUGAGCCGAUGUCGGAUUAGCUAGUUGGCGGGGUAAAGGCCCACCAAGGCGACGAUCCGUAGCUGGUCUGAGAGGAUGAUCAGCCACACUGGAACUGAGACACGGUCCAGACUCCUACGGGAGGCAGCAGUGGGGAAUAUUGGACAAUGGGCGCAAGCCUGACCCAGCCAUACCGCGUGGGUGAAGAAGGCCUUCGGGUUGUAAAGCCCUUUUGUUGGGAAAGAAAAGCAGCAGGUUAAUACCCCGCUGUUCUGACGGUACCCAAAGAAUAAGCACCGGCUAACUUCGUG
rnacentral:rRNA from 1 species